GAUGAACGCUGGCGGCGUGCCUAACACAUGCAAGUCGAGCGAUUCUCUUCGGAGAAGAGCGGCGGACGGGUGAGUAACGCGUGGGUAACCUGCCCUGUACACAUGGAUAACGUACCGAAAGGUAUGCUAAUACGAGAUAAUAUGCUUUUAUCGCAUGGUAGAAGUAUCAAAGCUUUUGCGGUACAGGAUGGACCCGCGUCCGAUUAGCUAGUUGGUAAGGUAACGGCUUACCAAGGCGACGAUCAGUAGCCGACCUGAGAGGGUGAUCGGCCACAUUGGAACUGAGACACGGUCCAAACUCCUACGGGAGGCAGCAGUGGGGAAUAUUGCACAAUGGGCGAAAGCCUGAUGCAGCAACGCCGCGUGAGCGAUGAAGGCCUUCGGGUCGUAAAGCUCUGUCCUCAAGGAAGAUAAUGACGGUACUUGAGGAGGAAGCCCCGGCUAACUACGUGCCAGCCGCCGCAGUAA
rnacentral:rRNA from 1 species